rnacentral:misc_RNA from 1 species
AGAGAGAGAGAGAGAGAAUCCAUUUCUUUGUUCAAUCUUUGAACUCAAACUCUCUUCAAGAACAACAUAAUGCCUUAAUGGGGUCCAAUAAUGAAGGAAUCCUAUAAGUAAACCUAUUUGAUCUUUUCCACACAAUUAAUAAGCUACAGAUUCAGAUCUAUCCGUAUAUAUGUGGGCAAAAUAGAAAACAUACAAAAUUCUCGACCAGAAACAGAAAGUUAAAAGGCAACAUUAUUUGCAAGAUAAAGAAAUUAUGGAAAUUAAAGUUAAUAAUGCUAGAAUCAUGGAUAGGAUACCAUUUCUUUGGGAAAUUUUCUGAAACCAAGAAAUGGGGAAUGGAAAAAGAAAGAAAGAAAAAAAAAGACAUAACUACUGUGAUUAACUUCACGAGAAAGAUACAUUAUAAAUUUAAAUAAUUAGUACCCUUUCAUUUGGUGUCAUUUUCUUGUCUAAUUUUCUUAAUCUUUCCACCAAGAUCCGCACGAAGAGCUGCAGGGAACAAAGAUUCAAUCUCAUUUGAUAGAUCAAGAAGGACUCUCCUGCGUUGAGAUUUUCUUUUAUUUGAUGGGAGAGAUUUAGGUUUUCUUGGUGCAGGUGGGCAUGGAAGGAUCACUGGGAUUUUUUGAUCCAAAGAUGUUGGAGUUUUGAACCCAUCAUCUAGAUCUUCUUCGAUCUUGAAUUCUCCUAGAGAUGGCAAUUUUAUCUUCAAAGUAGAAACCAACAACUUGCAUUUAUCUUCUUCUUUAUGUUCUUCUCGUUUUCUUUCUUCUUCAUCUUCUUCUACUUCUUCUUCUUCUUUUGAAUUCAGAUGAAGAUCAUCUUGAUCAUCCCCGUCUAGUAAAGGUGCAAUACGAUAUUCAUCUUCAAAUUCCAAAGCGGGUCUUACAAGGAAAUUGAAUUCCACGGAAUUCAGAUCUUUCUCUGAUAAAAACAUCUCAGGAUUCGACACACCCAUGAAUGAAACUGGUUUAAAUUGGGAAAACAUGAAGAGAGGGGGAAAAAAGGUUUCAAGAAACUGCAACCAACACCAAUCAAGAUACAAGACCCAGAAACCUAAAAGCAAGAGAUCCUGAGACUAGCAGGAUCAAGAAGACAAAUAUAUGAUGAAGAAAACAGACAAGAAGAGCUAGUAGAAGUGUAUAUGUAUUUAUAAAGAGAGAUAGCUAUUAGGCUAAACCAAGAGAGUUAUAGAGAAAAUGCAGAGUGUUUCUUUCUCUAAGCUUUGUUUGGAUUUUAGCCAUGGAAGUAUUGUUGAAGGGAGG